UACGUAGGCAGCAAGCGUUGUUCGGAAUUACUGGGCGUAAAGAGUGUGUAGGCGGUGCUCUAAGUUCGGUGUGAAAUCUCUCGGCUCAACUGGGAGGGUGCGCCGAAAACUGGGGUGCUGGAGCGCGGGAGAGGAAAGCGGAAUUCCUGGUGUAGCGGUGAAAUGCGUAGAUAUCAGGAGGAACACCGGCGGUGUAGACGGCUUUCUGGACCGUAGCUGACGCUGAGACACGAAAGCGUGGGUAGCAAACAGG
rnacentral:rRNA from 1 species